GACGUAGGGCGCGAGCGUUGUCCGGAUUUAUUGGGCGUAAAGAGCUCGUAGGCGGCUUGUCGCGUCGACUGUGAAAACUCGGGGCUCAACUCCGAGCUUGCAGUCGAUACGGGCAGGCUAGAGUUCGGUAGGGGAGACUGGAAUUCCUGGUGUAGCGGUGAAAUGCGCAGAUAUCAGGAGGAACACCGGUGGCGAAGGCGGGUCUCUGGGCCGAUACUGACGCUGAGGAGCGAAAGCGUGGGGGAGCGAACAGG
rnacentral:rRNA from 1 species